UGCUGUCAGAAUUAAAAUCCAAAUAGUGGAUAAAACAUUAGAAAAAUUAGAGUACAAAUAGUGGAUAAAACAUCACAAUAGAGGAGUCACGUGACACGAUGCGAAAGGAGGCUGAGUAACAGCGAGCUCCGCUUCAAUCUGCUUAAUUUAUCCUAUCAUUCACUUUGUUCCGAUGAAAGUUUUUGUGAUUUGGGCGUCUAAGUGAUAUUUGAACAAGAUAAUGUCAAAAAACUCGAAAUCCUCGGCCUGUGGGGACAUUAAAAAACACUUACGUUCACACGCGCCCGAUGCGUCUCAGGAUCAAGAUGGCCGAGGCCCAGCCGAGCCUGAAACGGUCUCGGAGUCUCUUGCUGAGAAACACGACAUCGCCAAUAUUUACACGAUCCUGACAAAAAUAUCCGGUGACAUGGAUGGUAUUACGGAGAUACGGAAAACUACCGCGUCGAUGGAGGCUAAAUUAUCCGCUCUCAUCACAAGGCUGGACGAGGUGGAAAAACGAGUGGAGUUUUUGGAAGGAUCCGAGAAAGAACUAAAAGCUAAUCCACCUGCCAGUAAAGUCGAGCUGGAUCAGUUAUGGGACAAAAUUGAAGAUAUGGAAAAUCGCAGCAGACGCAACAAUAUUCGUAUCGUCGGAAUUCCGGAAGGCAAAGAAGGCCAGGAUAUGGUGAAGUUUCUGGACGGCAUUAUUCCGCCUCUGAUUGAUCGGUCGGACCGGCAAUUAGAGAUAGAACGCGCGCACAGAUCCCCCAGUCAACGUCCCAACUCGACUGACAAACCCCGGCCUAUUCUGGCAAGAUUUCUACGUUCUGCCGACAGGGACUUUGUGCUUCGUGCAGCCAGGAAUAAAGGUAGUCUAAGCUGGGAAAACAACAAUAUAAUGGUCUUCCCGGACUUCGCCAGAUCUACUCAGCUGAAGAGAGAGCGUUUUAAGGAGUGUAAAAAAAUUCUCCACACGAAAAAGACGAGAACAGCAUGAAAAUCAGGAUAGAGGACUCUGUUACUCUGGAUAUUUUGACUCAUUCUGAUGGCACCCGUUCACUGCAGAGGAUCCAUUGGUGAGCAAGUGGUCACAAAAAAUAAAUAAAUAAUAAUAAUCUACAAUCUUGGAUGAGGGUGAGUACAUUUUUGUCAAAUUUUCAUUUUUG
ensembl:lncRNA